rnacentral:rRNA from 1 species
GAUGAACGCUAGCUACAGGCUUAACACAUGCAAGUCGAGGGCAGCAUUUUUAUAGCAAUAUAAAAGAUGGCGACCGGCGCACGGGUGAGUAACACGUAUCCAACCUGCCGAUAACUCGGGGAUAACCCUUCGAAAGAAGCCCUAAUACCCGAUGGCAUAUCCCUUCGCCUGGUUGGAUAUUAAGACUUCGGUUAUCGAUGGGAUGCGUUCCAUUAGCUUGUUGGCGGGGUAACGCCCACCAAGGCUUCGAUGGAUAGGGGUUCCUGAGAGGAAGGUCCCCCCACAUUGGAACUGAGACCACGGGUCCAAACUCCUACGGGAGGCCAGCAGUGAGGAAUAUUGGUCAAUGGGCGCA